CAGAACCGGUCCAAAAGUAACAACAGUACCGCAACAACAUAAUGAGGAGUCUAUAUGAAAUGCAGUGUACAAUUUGUGCGAUGAGGUCGAUGCUAUGCAACCCUUUGCAGUCAACAAUUGCCACCGCUUCAGUGAAAACUUCACAUUUGGAUUUGUCACUGAAAAAAACCCACAUGGAUGAAAGAGAAUCCCGUGGCUGAGGAUAUUAUUACAGAAUGAUCCCCUAACUCCCAUCCAAUCAUUCAACUGAAAGACCACGACUGGAAAACUGCCCUCUACAGACAUUGCAGUGUUUUCAAAUUGGAAGGAAUUGAAGUUUGUUCCUGCACUUCAGUGGAUGCCUCAUCCAGUUUAUCACAGCCUUCUGCUUCGUCUUCAACAUGACAUAUCCUACAAACUUUCAAAAGACCCUG